rnacentral:rRNA from 1 species
ACUACGGGUGGCAGCAGUGAGGAAUAUUGGUCAAUGGACGAAAGGCUGAACCAGCCAAGUAGCGUGAGGGAAGACUGCCCUAUGGGUUGUAAACCUCUUUUAUGUGGGGAUAAAGGGGUCCACGUGUGGGAGUUUGUAGGUACCGUAUGAAUAAGGACCGGCUAAUUCCGUGCCAGCAGCCGCGGUAAUACGGAGGGUCCGAGCGGUAUCCGGAUUUAUUGGGUUUAAAGGGAGCGUAGGGGGGUUUUUAAGUGAGCCGUGAAAGUUUGUGGCUCAACCCUCAUAGUGCAGCUGAAACUGGCGACCUUGAGUGCGCGUGAGGCAGGCGGAAUUCGUGGUGUAGCGGUGAAAUGCUUAGAUAUCACGAAGAACCCCGAUUGCGAAGGCAGCCUACUGCAGCGUUACUGACGCUGAGGCUCGAAAGCGUGGGUAUCGAACAGGAUUAGAUACCCUAGUAGUC